AACGAACGCUGGCGGCAGGCCUAACACAUGCAAGUCGAGCGAGGACUUCGGUCCUAGCGGCGGACGGGUGAGUAACGCGUGGGAACGUGCCCUUUGCUUCGGAAUAGCCCUGGUAAACUGGGAGUAAUACCGGAUGAGCCCUUUGGGGGAAAGAUUUAUCGGCGAAGGAUCGGCCCGCGUUGGAUUAGGUAGUUGGUGGGGUAAUGGCCUACCAAGCCGACGAUCCAUAGCUGGUUUGAGAGGAUGAUCAGCCACACUGGGACUGAGACACGGCCCAGACUCCUACGGGAGGCAGCAGUGGGGAAUCUUAGACAAUGGGGGAAACCCUGAUCUAGCCAUGCCGCGUGAGCGAUGAAGGCCUUAGGGUUGUAAAGCUCUUUCAGCUGGGAAGAUAAUGACGGUACCAGCAGAAGAAGCCCCGGCUAACUCCGUG
rnacentral:rRNA from 1 species